rnacentral:rRNA from 1 species
UACAGGGGGGGCAAGCGUUGUUCGGAAUUACUGGGCGUAAAGGGCUCGUAGGCGGCCAACUAAGUCGGACGUGAAAUCCCCAGGCUCAACCUGGGAACUGCGUCCGAUACUGGAUGGCUUGAAUCCGGGAGAGGGAUGCAGAAUUCCAGGUGUAGCGGUGAAAUGCGUAGAUAUCUGGAGGAACACCGGUGGCGAAGGCGGCAUCCUGGACCAAUUCUGACGCUGAGGAGCGAAAGCCAGGGGAGCAAACGGG